CUAGUUUAUUUUUCAUAUAGUAAUUGAAGCAUAUUUGAUUAUCAAAAGACCCUAUUAAUCUUAAAUUUGCCUUAAAUUUAAUGUUACUCAUUUUAAAAGGUAUCAUUGAGAAUUUGAAAUAGUAUUUGAAAACAUAAAUGUGUCAUUCUCUAAACAUAAAAGUGAAUCGCUGUACGCCAAAGUAAAUUGAAUGUUUGUAUUUUAGAUUAGAAAGUCUGCUACCUUUUCCAUAAUCCCAGCGAUAAUUCAUACUGGAACAGUAAUUUGUCAACUUCUACAAAAGAUUUAAUCUAUAUAUUUAUGUGUUCAGAUAUUGCUAUCCUUAACUUUAAAUACUGAGCAUGUACGUGAAACUGGGUGUUGUUAGUAUAAAGGGCAUGUAUAAACAUCAUGUUUUGAAAAACCAUCAACUAGGACUCAAGAAAAUUGUUCAUGGUAUCUACAAUUCCCGUGGCCAUGUAAGCAUGUGGUUUGCUAAUGUCAGCAAAUUAUAGGUUUCGUAUAAAGCUGGAGGAGGCUUAAAAAUCAGAAAUUCCUUUUUUGAACAUAAUGCACUUCUAAAUUUAACAUAUACUAGGUCAAUAGAGUGUGAACAAUAAUAGUCAAUGAAAAUAAUUUAAGAAUUUACACAGUUGUAAGAAAUUUAUUUAAAGAACAAAUGACCAAGGAUGCUCGGGGUCAGAAGGCAUAGUAGAUUAUUGGUUAUGAGGACUAGUUUGAGUCCUGGAAAUAGAAACAAGUAUGGCAUUCUGAUUAAGAGAGAAGGGAAGGGAGAAAGAAGAGAGAGGACAUAUAUCAUGUUCAGUUUAUCUAGACCUGUGCAAUACACAGGGCCUAUACACCUGUGAUCUCCUCAGGUAUGAGAAAUGCAUGUGAAGGGAGCUGAACAAUGGCAGUUAUGGGUAGAUGGAGACAGGGGAUUCACAGGAAAAUUACACCCUAUUUUCACCUUUUACUGUGAUCCUAAAAUAAAAUAAAUUGUAUUUUUUAAAAAAGGUUUUCCAGUAUCAGGCAUUUCCCUGAAUCCUUAUUGUCUUUUUAUUUGAAGUGAGUUUUCCCUCAAAAUAUGCACUGAAAUAAAUUUUUACUGGGAUUAUGUUUGAUCAGCUCCUGCUAGCUGAUUCACAAUAAUAACACUCAAUCUUUAAAAUUUAAAUGCUCCUAAUUUCCAAUCCUAUUUUUGAAAGGGAAAUGAGAUUUUAAUUGUAUCUGAGCUGAGUUCUUGUGCCAUAAAGGAACUACCUUUAAUUGGCUGAACUUCGCAUGAAAACCCCACAAUUACAUGGGUUCCUUAUUGACCACUCUGGUUAUUUAUGUCAGAUCUGUGUGUUGUUACUCUAUCACUUCUUCUGUCAGCUCUUCAUCUUCAAUUACAGAUCUCAGAGGUUGUGACCUUUUCUCCUGACUGUGAUAGGCUGAUGUGGGUACCAAAUGUCUAUAGGGACGUGGUCUUCAUUUUGGAGGCACACACUUCUGUUUCAUGCAGCCACUGGUUGUUUAGAAUAUUCCAUUUAGCUCCUUAUUACAGAUCACUUAAGAGGGAGAUUUCCAGGGGUUGGGGAUUUAGCUCAGUGGUAGAGCGCUUGCCUAGCAAGCACAAGGCCCUGGGUUCGGUCCCCAGCUCCGAAAAAAAAAAAAAAAAGGAAAAAAAAGAGGGAGAUUUCCUCUUUAUUCUGGCCCAGUGAUCAUGGAAGGAGCUAUGAUUGGUGGGGUUUCUAUUCAGAGAUGAUCAUAUAUGCCAAGAUCCUUUUGUCUGCCCAGCAGAAAGUGAAGGAAGCCUUUGGUUUAGAUAAUAAAAAGGCCCACAGGAAUUACACGGGAGCUGCCAUAAACUUGGUGCAUUGACACCUUGUUGAGAAAGUUCUGUUGCCUGUGAUGAAAAUGCUUUCAUUUGAAGACCUUCAUUAUUGCAUAUGCUUAACAAUGCAAGUUUAUUUCAGAAGCCAUUCUUUCAGUCUGUGAAACAGAAAGAACCUAAACCAUUCACAGGGAAUCAGAUUUCAUGAAGCACCCAUUUCUAUCAAAAUAAGGACAUCUGUACUUUGAAAACAAAUGAAAAUAAGACCUUUCCCCUGUCCAUCUGGCCUUCACUUCUUCAAAUCUUGACAUUACUGGAAUGCAAACUCUGAGUUUACCAUUUUUACUGACUCUCCUACCAAAUAAUUGACAUGAUAAACUUCUUUUUCAAGUUUUUAAAUUUAGGGAAACUCUGGUGUUUCCCUUUUGCUCAGACUAAAACAUAACUUGUUAAACAUUUCUGUUCUGUUUUGUUUCAUGCUGCUUAUUAUUAAUGAAUAUGCUAGAAAGUCAUAAGUGAGCAAGAUUUACCAUGUUAUGUGAAAGGCUUGAUCUAUAAACAUACACUGAUAUCUGUUUUUCAUGUAACAUUGUAAAUCAUGUAAAACAUUGUAAGGAUGCUGUAUUUUUCAAAGAUGUCAUUUCUGUAUUCCUACUUAAAAGAUUCAUGCAUCAGUUUAGACCCAAAAGUGGUGGUCUUGGCCAUUUCUUCCUUACUGCAAAAGAAGAGAAUCAUAGAAUUCUUGGAUGAGUCAAGCUAGCAUAAUGACAGACGCCAUGCAGGAAGAGCUACAGUAGGCAAGUGAGCUUUCUGGAGGGAGCCCAAUGUCUUGCUCGGCUGCAAUGGGUUUGAUGUGGGGAGGGACAGCACCAGAGGCUUCGUCCCAAGAUUACUUCUUGUUACUGAUGUGCUUUCUCAUGUUUGUCACUGACACACUCCUCAUUUAUUUGGCUUGGUGUGAGUGGACACCAGGAGACUCUAACUGCCUAUAGCUUGGUGUGAGUACUUCCUGGGUGAUAGUCUACCCUAUCAGGCAAAUUUGCUGCAUAUCAACAUAAAGAUGAACUUUCCCAUAUUGAUGGUGUUUAGUAGAAUUAAUGACUAUGGAAUUCCUGAUUUUAUUCAAAUAAUUUUUAGGAAAAAAAUUUAAGGAGAUUGUUUUAGUUGUUUUGUCAAAAAAUAUAAUAAUGUUAGAAUCAAGAAUAAAAUGUGGCCCCUCCUCCCAGAGUAGUAAGUAAAGGCUAUAUAUACAUACUUAGGAAUACAAUGAGCUUUCAUAAAUUGCACUAAGAAGAGAUAUAGGCUUGGGAUGAAUUUGUGAUCAAGAAAAAAACAUUCAUUGUGGGUCAGGUCCAAAGAUGAGGCCAUAUGUGUGCACUAUGAUAAAGUAAGGCCAUGUGAAACUAUUGGUUUAAACUUACAAUGAGCUUGUAGAACGAAACGCUGCCAUGAACUUUCUGUAACUACCUCUUUUAUGUAACAUUUUAUCUGUGAGGUAAUUUUAUAAAGAAGUUUUUUGUAAGAUGAUAUAAAAAGCCUGAGAGAAAAAAAAAAUGAAGCAUGGCUGUUGACCUCUGUUGUACCAACCAAAUGGAUAUAUAUGUCUGUCUAUAUGUAUACAUACAAGAUCUGCAGGUAUAUAUGUGUAUGUAUAUAAGGUUGCAUGUGCACUUGUGGAACUGAUGAAACAGGAGGUCAGGAAAGGCCAUUUUGCAUGUGUAUUCAUGGGUGCACACACACAGACACAGACACAAUUGUUUUUUUCUUUCUUGCUUUCUUGCUGUCUUUUCAUUUCUCUGCGAAAUUAUGAGAAGGCAUCAGCUUUUAGCCCCCCGAUAAGUUAAAGACCAGAGUCUAUUAGUUUUUGGCUUUCAUCUGAUGCUCUGUCCCACCUCAGUACCUGAUCCUGUUGGGGCUGUCCCCCAGCAAUCAUAAUUCCUACAAAAUAAAUAUAAACAAGGAUAACUUAAAGAAUGGUUUGAAGAACAGUAAAAUGUGUACUUCAAAUGUAUUUAUGUAAUAUGCCUUAGAAAAGCUUUGGGUAUAUUUAGCAACUUUCAAUGGUCUUUAAGCAGCACAUUUAAAUAGAGAUUUAUUUAAUUGUUUUGUUUUGUUUUAUCUAUUUCUUCACUUUACAAACUUGUUCAACUACUUUGGAAAUCAACUUGAUGGUUUCUCGGAUAAUAGGGAAUAGCUCUACCCCAGGGCACAGCUCUACCACUCCUGGGCAUAUACCCAAAAGAUGCUUCACUAUACCACAAGGACACUUCCAUGGUCAUAGAAGCUUUAUUUACAAUAGCCAGGAAGUGGAAGCAACCUCAAAUGAAUUCUCAAAUGAAGAAUGGGUAAGGAAAAUGUGGUACACCACACAAUGAAAAUCUAUGCAGCUGUUUGAAUCAAGAAUAUCAUGAAAUUUGCAGGCAAAUGGAUAGAACUAGAAAAAUAUCAUCCCAAGAGAGGUAACCCAGACCCAGAAAGAUUUGUAUGGCAUGUACUCACUUAUAAGUGGAUAUCAGUCAUAGGAAGAGCAGGAAAAGCAUGCUACAUUCCAUAGACCCGAUGAAACUAAAUAAUAAGGAAGGCCCAAAGGAGGGUGCGUGAGUCUCACUCAGAAGGGGAAAGUAGUCACUGGAGAUUUAUCUUUACGUGUAUGUAGUUCUGUAAACUGUGUGCAUGCUAGGUGGAUCCCCUCGAAUUAUAGUUAGAGAUGUUUUUGAGUCACACAGGAAUGCUGAGAAGUGAACCCAGGUCCUCUGCCAAAACAAUGAAUGUUUCUAACCACUGAGCCCAGGAGCGUGCUUCAUUAAAGUUAUUAGUUUCAAGGUCUUAGCAUAUAUAUUUUUGGAUAGUAUUCACAGAAAAAAAGAGUUAUUGGUCAUAGCAAAUCUAUUAUUCUGCAUAAGUUCUUAUGGCUACUCUCCUUCAUGUUGUACUGUCACCGUUUAAUGUUCAUAUGGGCGGGAAGCCCUACAUGCAUGUAUUUUGCUUUUCUAUAACGGUGUGUAAUAAAAUGCGCUGUGGUCACAUCCCCCUGCACCUCAUCAUUCAGAUGCUGGUGGAGGCAGAUCCAGGAAUUUAAUAUUAUUUUUAACUACAUAGCGUUUCAAGGCUACUCUAGGCUGUGUGAGACUCUCAGAAAGAUAGAGUGGGAUGGUAAGAUGAAUCCGCAAACAAAGGUGCUUGGGACACCAGUGAUGAACUGACAUUAAUCUCUGGACCCUAUGUACAGCUUAAAUGAGAUCUGAUUUGCAAAGCUGCCCAGUGAUUCUCACAUGCCCAUAGUGGCAAGCAGAACCAUUGCUCCCUGCACCAUAAUAAUAAAUAAAAUAAAGUUUUAAAAAAUAGAGAAUACACACACAUAAAAAGAAAGACAUUGCAGAAGGUUUGUUAAGAGGUUUCAAUAUUCUAUAGCUUAAAAUCAAGAAUGAAUAGUUUUACCCACAAUUUGCUUUGCGAUUAAGCUUUCUCCAAAAAUAACAGUGUGAGAUGCUGUGGUAAUUAGCUUCUCAGAACAUAACCACACUCCCCCUCUCCCCUUGUCAAUGACUGUUUAUCAGAGUCAACAGCUUCUACUGUUGGUUGACCAGUCCUUCCCUGCCUUUAGAGGCACACAUGUUCAUGAGACAUGUCUUUCAAUUCAGCAGAUAUCCUCUAAUCACCAGGAGAUUCUCUGUUCCUCAAUAAAAUUCUUAUAAGACAAUUUCUCUAAUCCUAUAGUGAUCUGUCUUCUUUUCUGCCUGGCCCAACUCUCAUUUCCCUCACAAGAUAAGAAUGUGCCACAUACCCAGACUCCCCUCCCCAUAUGUCCAUUAUUGCCAUUGUAUUGACUCGCCUCCAUGCCUCCCCCUUUUCAUUCUUCCAGCAUCUCCAAACCCAACCAGCCACCUUCUCUGAUGUAUUAGUCUUGUGUAGCCUUUAUCCCGUUCUUAAGUGUGUGAUGAAAUACCUGGCUACAAGCCACAAGGAGAGAGGACAUCUAUCAUGUUUAUCCGUGUUGCAACACUUAACGAGCUAGGUAUCAUGAGGUCAAGCACAGUUCUAAGCACUUUACAUGUAUUAACUUAUGUUGUGUUCAUUGUAAUAUAACAUUUGACAAAUGAGGCAGCUGAGGUAGUUAAAAGUGAAGUGGCAGAUGGGCACCAGAACUGGGUCAAAUGCAGGAAGCUUUUCCCAGAGCUUUGUGCUCUGCCAUGAGCACCAUGAACAUACACCUCUAGAGGUGCUUCAGUGUGUGGAGAGUCUGAGGUACUUUUGCUGAAAGUAAAGACUAAGAGCCUCCACCGUGUUGUGUAAUUAUUUUCUCUUGAAAUAUUUGCAAAUUUUAGCUAUUUUUGUUAUUCAGUACAACUCAUAUCUAUUGCAGUUUGGUGCAGUUUAUUUUUGUUCCAUCAUUUUGUUUUAUGAUGUGUGAAGACAGUUCUUCUCAAGCACUGAAAAUCCAUGAAAAAAGCUGCUGAAACAUUUAGAAUGUAAGCACCCUUAGCACAGGCUCCUACAUCUGACUCAACAGAAAUGAGGUGUGGACCCAGGUCCCAGUAAAGAAACCAACAAACACAGUUUGCUGACUUACUCAUAUUGGACUUCACUGGUAAAAUUUUACACAAUAAAUGCUGCUUUAAUAAAGAUAAUGGAAACCAAAACAGACUUGGUGGUUUAAAAAAAGUCUAGAGAGUUAGAAGGUUAGGCAAUUCACAUCAUCUGUUCAAAGACAGUACUCACUUAUAGGACACUCUACAGGCUAAGGCUAGGCGGUCUCUCUAGACACCCUUAGGCUCAUACAAGGUGAGUACUGAGGAGAAAGGCUGGCUCGUCAGGCUCCACAAAGCAACGUUCUGCUCUUUGGAAGAAGUAAGCACAGUAAACAGUAUCGGGUUAAAGAAAGCAUGUCUGCUUUUUCUCAUUCUUGUACAGGAGUGCUAAAGUUUUUGAUAUCUAUUUUUAGUUGCAGUCUUUGUUUUGUCCAUUUCCUAUGGAUUAUAUUUAAUUUCAUGGACAAGCAAAGUCAAGCAAAAUAAGUUACUCCUUGCGGUUUGCAAAUGUGUACUCCGUGCAGUCUGAAAUUAUGCAGGUCAUACUCCUGUGUGUAUGUGUUUAUGGUUAACGUAGUUUGGUCUUUCCGGUGCUAUAUCUCAAAUAUCUGACCACUGGGCUCAAGCCUUACAACACAGAGUCCUACGUUAAAUAUAUACUGAAUAUGUGGCUAAUUUUGAAGACAGAAGUUGGAUAGUCUUUGUAAAACAUGCUUUAGUAGAGUUAAAUGAAAAAUUUCACAGAUAUUAAUAAGCAAUUACCUUGGUUCUCAGUGACAUUACAGAUUGCUUUCUUAGUGAAUUGAAUAGUUUUCAAUUUGAAUAAAAAUUGAGAAGAUGUAUUCUAAUAAUUAUCAUAAUACUCAUAUUUAAUUAAAGUUCACACUUAACUUGAUAUUCAGGCCUUUCCAAGUAUUUGUCAUUCUGUGACAUGAAUACCAUUUUGGAAAGCCCUUUGGACCUCUUUUUCCUAACUUAGUUAUACACAAAAUGGAUCAUAAAUAUUUACUGUGCCCCAAUAUAAGAGAAGGUGUCAUGUGAUUUGUUUCUUUUCUCUUGAAAAUGGUGGAGUUUUAAGAUUGAUUGCCAUAUAUAUGCUAUGAUUCUUAUACUACUUUGUGACAAAAAUAUCCCUCAUCAUCCAAUGUUGUCUUUUUUUAGUUGUUUUUAGAAGCAGUGACAUUUUUAUGACAAUGCAAUUGUUUUGCCCGGAAGGCUACUGCUAAAUAUUUAAAAUCCUCAUAAUGUUCUUCUUUGUCAGAAGCCAUGGUAUCUGUGUUUAGUGGUGGAUAAAUAUAGAUGUGAAUUCCGUGAUUGCAGCAGUGUCCUCACAUCUGCAAAGAAUACACUGCAAGAGUGAGUAGCUACACGGAACCACAGGUAGCAUCGAUGCUCACCAUCCAUUCCACUCUGCCGUUGCACUUACGUCCCUAGGAUAACACUGAUGUACGAGUGAGGUAAUGUGUGACAUUAACAACAGCAAAUAACAAAGUAGGUCACUUAUGACAAUAUUUCCUGAGAACAUUGUAUAGUGGUGCCUCUCACCAUAAUUUUUUCUUAUGCCACCACAUAGGUUCUUUAUUCUGUACAAAGUUUGGCUUUAUCACCUGUCCUACAAUGCUGUCAUACUGUGCCAGCAAUUGUCAUUGCUUCUGCUACAUGCCACAAGAUCCCCUCAUGUCCUUACUCAUGUACUUUGUGCACAUAAGUAUUCAUGUACUUUGGAGGUAUUAUUAAGUAAAUGAGGGUCACCAGGCUGUAAGCACUGUGAUACUGUGAGAAGACUAUGAGCUAGCCAAAGCUGCUGCUGAUUGACUAAUGGGCAGGUACCAGAUAUGACAUGAACACUGUGGACAAAGGAUGGUUCUUGUUCCUUAUUGGAUGAAACAGGACAGUCGAAUUUCCCAAUGUUAAUGAGAAUGUAAGCAAUUAAAAUUUGAGUUAUUUAUUUCUGGAAUCCUCCAUAUAAUUCUUUUGGAUCUUGAAAGACCACAAGUGACUUACCCUGGAGAAAAUGAGAUCCUAAAAGGGCAAGGAGAAGACUAUCACAUAUACUGAAACUACCUAGAAUAUAUUAGUUUCCAUCAAGGAGCUAGAACACCUUUGUUCCUUGAAGACCUACCAUUUGUUUCCCCAGCAGUUUGCUUAACCUCCAUGUGUCCCUGAUACCUUUCUCAGUAUUUCUGAUAUUAUAACAUAGCUUUUUUUUUAGCAAUUAUGUCAACUGAUGAAAUGUUGGAUCAACUCAUCCAGGACAUAGAGAAGGCUAAGUCCUAAGGCACAGUGAAAAUAAAUCAAAUGGCACUGUGAAUUUUCUUCAUUAAAAUCCAACAAAAUGCAUUUGUGUGAAUACUGAGUUAACAAAAUAAUAAUAAUAAACCACAUAGUUAAUGUGUUAUUAUUUAAGCUUUAAGAAUGCUAUAUACAAAUAAUUUUGUGGUAUUAGAAAAGUUUUAUGUUAUUGUGUUAGUACAAGAGAGUAGAGAUUAAAAUCUGUAUCUGGUCUGUGUAGCAUGUAAAUUUUCUGUUACUGCUAUAAUGAACUAGUACAAUAGCAUAGAAGAUAGAUAAUUAUCAUGUAUCUCUAGAAGAUCCAAAAUAAAAUUCUGAGAUUAGGAGAUGUGUUGUUAAAGCCUCACUUGGCUCAGAUAAGAAGUACAGCUUCCUGAGUUCUUACCACUCCUCUGCAGAGCCAGGCGUUUCCUCACACCCAACUUCCUGCCUGUGCUCUCUGGACUAAGCCUGUACAAAAUGGAAAAGGACAUUUUAUGAGAGGCUUACUCAUUUAGCAAUUUGUGAAAGCAAAAUUGCUCUUGAUCUGGGUGGGAUUUUAGAUAUCAGAUAAUGUAAUUAGCUUGAAUGUGAAUAGAUAGGACCAGAGAGGAAGAAUGUUAAUGUUUACUUACUUCAGUUUUAAUCCUAGCUUUGCUUUCUUAAGAAUGCCAGUCUCUCCUUCAUCCCAAUCUCCACUUCUUCAUGACUGUUAUAACACCUGAGAAGCUAAAUAGUUGACAAAAUGAUUGAGUUUAGACUUGUUUCCAAAAGUGAAACUCAUACGUGACCAUGUCCUCAGAGCUGAGUACCUGUGGCUAGACAUGUCCUAGAUGCUAGAAAAAUCCACUCCUGCUAUUCUGCUAAAUGGACAUAGUAUAAAGCUAAUGUCUCAUCAUUACAUGUUUAUAUUAAUUCACCUCUCAACCCUCAUCAGAAAAGAAACUUCUAUUUGCAGUAAUGAUGGGUAACACAGAUACCCAUAACUGACCAAGGUGUAGAGAAUAAGGGACUUUAGAACAUUCAGUCCUUGCUGGAGUAUCUGUGUCACUCAUUGCAGAAUUGGGGUGAGAUGGAAAGAGAAUAAAAGGCAGAGCUGGAAGAUAGCUACAAGGAAAAGUUGUGUCUCCACAUAUAGGGCAGCUGGACUUCUGUACGAGCACAAGCCAGACAAAAUCUUCAGAAGGAGAAGAAAGGUGGAAAGUCCCACCCCCUACCUGAUGAGGCAUGGGCAAUUGACAGCUUUAGGGAGAGAAAGAGUCAGUUUUCUUGGGGAGUGUGACACCUGGGACCUUGUACCUUACUCUUAAAAGUGGUAGGAUAUACAUCCAACAAUAUAUGUGCAGUGACUUGGUGGGUUAAAAAGGGUUCUUAAAAAACACACAUGGUAUGCACUCAUUGAUAAGUGGCUAUUAGCCCAAAUGCUUGAAUUACCCUAGAUGCCUAGAACAAAUGAAACUCAAGACGGAUGAUCAAAAUGUGAAUGCUUCACUCCUUUAAAAGGGGAACAAGAAUACCCUUGGCAGGGAAUAGAGAGGCAAAGAUUAAAACAGACACAGAAGGAACACCCAUUCAGAGCCUGCCCCACAUGUGGCCCAUACAUAUACAGCCAUCCAAUUAGACAAGAUGGAUGAAGCAAAGAAGUGCAGGCCGACAGGAACCGGAUGUAGAUCUCUCCUGAGAGACACAGCCAGAAUACAGCAAAUACAGAGGCGAAUGCCAGCAGCAAACCACUGAACUGAGAAUAGGACCCCCGUUGAAGGAAUCAGAGAAAGAACUGGAAGAGCUUGAAGGGGCUCGAGACCCCUUAUGAACAACAAUGCCAAGCAACCAGAGCUUCCAGGGACUAAGUCACUACCUAAAGACUAUACAUGGACUGACCCUGGACUCUGACCUCAUAGGAAGCAAUGAAUAUCCUAGUAAGAGCACCAGUGGAAGGGGAAGCCCUGGGUCCUGCUAAGACUGAACCCCCAGUGAACUAGAUUGUUGGGGGGAGGGCGGCAAUGGGGGGAGGAUGGGAAGGGGAACACCCAUAAAGAAGGGGAGGGGGAGGGACUAGGGGGAUGUUUGCCCGGAAACCGGGAAAGGCGGGAAAGGGAAUAACACUCAAAAUGUAAAUAAGAAAUACUCAAGUUAAUAAAAAGAAAAAAAAGGUUCUUAAGAUUGAGUAGGCAGGAAGUUUUGAUUUCUCUAAAAGAGGUUUCUUCCCUGACCCACCCUUCUCUCUCCCUCCCUCCCCCUCCCUUCUCUCUCUCUCUCUCUCUCAUACACACCCCCACCCCCCCACACACGUGCACACACAAACACCCAUACACACAGCAGCAGCAGCAGAAACAGUAGCAGCAUUACAUCCUUUUAGAGCCAUUUGUUCUCUAUUCCAAUAUUCUUUUAAAAAGAAAAUUAUAUUUUAAAAUUAUAUACCAUGUGAAAUCAACAACAUCAGUGAAACAAUUAUAUAAACUAUAUACCAAUGUAGAAAUAAAUAUAUAUCUUAUAUAUCACAUGUAGCAUAUAUAUUGUAUAUCAUAGUUAUAUACUGCUUAGAAAGAAAAACAAUGUUCAAUAUGAGGGAAUAAGCAUCUUAAUUAGUUGAGUUGGGCCAGCAUUAGAACUUUAACAAAAGUUGUUUUUAUGUGACAGAAGAGACACUCCAGUGAUGUACAUGAGGGAAGAUGUAUUCUAGGAAUACAAAGACAGAGUGCACAGAGUAGAAAGACUUAAAAUGUGUACAAGGAAUUCACAGAAAGAAUAAUCAGUUUAAACGAACUGUAAUGACUGAGUAAUACAGAAAACUAAAGGCAUCAUCAUGGAAACAGGGCAGGGCCAAGAAAUCAGAUUCAGACCAAAGCAAACAAAAAAGCACUCAAAGGUUUGAGCAUGAGGGCUACAUUGUUUGCCUUUAAUUUAGUGAUAGGAGAGGGGAUCAGAAAGGGUGAAUCACAGGAGCAGGGAAGAACCAUUGUAAACUAAGGACACAAAUUUAGUUUUGCUAUGGGAGGAUGGCAAGAGCUGGCCAGGAGUUCUGGAGGGCGUCAGUUUUAUAGAAUAUGUUUAGUGGCACUGUUUUCAGAUGACAUUUUCUGACUUAACCAAAUUGGUAUAUGCCAUUCAUCGAAUUUACAGGAAAAAAAGAGCAUUUUCUGGUUGGAGCUCUGGGAUAGAAAAAACUUGGAGUGAUGGGUGGAUGUAGAUAGACAUUGCCUUCAGUUGACUCCUUAGUUGCCUCUUCUGCUGCUUAUACCCCUGCACUGUGGAAUGCUGAGAGGAGUGGGAACCAAGGGAGCUAGCAGAGGUCAUUUGUCCCCUAGAGCUCUAGCAGUAGAUGUCCAGUAGAUGUCUGGGAAUCUGACCCACAAGAACAGCAAGUACUCUUAACCACUGAGCCAUCCCUCCAGCCUCUUAAGUACGUAUGUUUAUAUGUCAGACAAUUAGCUGCUUUUUUCCUAAAUUAUAUUUAUUAAUUAAUCUAGUUUGUACACAUAUAAGUUUGUAUGGAUGUGCCAGAGUGCUCAUAGAGAAACUAGAGUGUGUCAGGUGCUCAUGAGGAUGUCAAGUAAUGAACACUGGGAGUUUUCUGCUUUUACUGUGUAGAACUAACGCCAUCAUGUUUGGCAGGAAGUCUUUUUUUACCUGCUAAACUAUCUCAGAAAUAUAGCAUAUUGUAGGUAAAUUCCUUAGUUUUCCUGGUUUAAGCACUGUAUAUAUGAAUCUGAAAGUAAAGGUAAGUUUGUGUCUGUGGCUGGCCUUGCUUGCUUUGAGAAGUGCAUGGUGUGUUUUAGAAAUACCAGUGCAGGAUCCGUCAGUAGGUCUAUGUUUUAGAAAUACCAGUGCAGGAUCCGUCAGUAGGUCUAUGUUUUAGAAAUACCAGUGCAGGAUCCGUCAGUAGGUCUAUGUUUUAGAAAUACCAGUGCAGGAUCCGUCAGUAGGUCUAUGUUUUAGAAAUACCAGUGCAGGAUCCGUCAGUAGGUCUAUGUUUUAGAAAUACCAGUGCAGGAUCCGUCAGUAGGUCUAUGUUUUAGAAAUACCAGUGCAGGAUCCGUCAGUAGGUCUAUGUUUUAGAAAUACCAGUGCAGGAUCCGUCAGUAGGCCUAUGUUUGCAUCUGUUAAGUUUUUAAUUCUGGUCCUGGUCAACUCUCUGCUUCUUUUAGCAAAACAUGUUUACUAUCAAUAUUCCCCAUAUUGAAAUCCUUUGAGCAUAAGUUUGGAUAUAUUUUCCAGUAAAAAGAUCUUACCUAAAAAUUUAUAAGCCUAGCUAUUUAUUAUGUCACAUUUACAAUCUUUAUUUUGUUGUUGUAUAACUUCUCCCUUUUUUACUCUUUUAUUCAGCAAUUGCACCUGUACCCUAUAGCUCUCAGAGGAUGGAACACUUAUCCUUCCACUUAUCAUGGAAGGGUUUCAACUUUAUUUCUUCCAGUCUGUGUGCAUGUGGAAACCAACACUGUAAACCAGCUUCUGGACCUGAUCCCUCUUUAUCUGUGGUUAAUCGUUUGGUUGUCUAAUCCCAGCUUAUGUGCUUGGCUUUAUGCUGAUAUAAACCUCUGUGAGUGGAUGCAAAGUCCUGGUGCUAGAGAGAACCCUCAGUGUCAUCCAUCUUCACACUUAGCCUUACAAUGCUAGGACUCCAUGACUGAUGUCUUCAAGGCCCACAAAGUCUUUCUGAUAGCAGGAUCUCAGGAAUUGAUUUUUACUCUCCCCAUGUUUGGACCUUUCUACUGUGCAGAGUGGAAUUAUAGGGUGCUUCACUGUCAGUGACUUUGAGCAAGACACCUAUUCAGUUUUGAGGUCAGCAAACAGGCCAGCAGGUAUUUACUUUACAGCACUGCACUCAUGGAGAAUUUGGUGUUUAAUGUGAAAGGUAGAGGACACUUUAAGAGUUGCACUGGGUCUUGGUGACAUGCUUGAUAUGUUGAGAGAUGUUAGUAGAGAGGAACGCGCAGGAUUCCAGAUGACAUUACCCAUGCUUAUGGUCCUAGAGUCGCCCUUUUGAUGCACAACACAGGCUCUGAAAUUAGAGCACAAUAGAUUGCCAGGUGCAAACUGCCACGGAGUUCAGAAAUCUGCCAAUAUGCUACUAACCCUUUACUUAUUCAUAUUAGAAUGGUGACUGAGAAAGGCAACAGAGAAAUGGCUAAUUGUCCCCACUUCGGUAUGUUUUUCUCAUUAUUAAAUACCUACUUCAGAUUUCCCAGAGCUAGUUUAAGCGAAGGGACCUCUCUGUCUUCAUAGCUAAUAUUCAGUGGGCUACAUGAGUUCUAACAGGUGGAUGUGGAGGGUGCUUGUUGAAUGUCUGACGUGGAUGCUAUGAUGAAGAAAGUGGUCCUACGUCAAAGCCAAGGAGGCUGCUGAGCCUAGGAACCUCUCUGUAGAUUGGUCAUUGACAUAAGUCUUUACUGCUUUAGGUGUCAACUUCUUCUAAGUUCUUGGUUGAUGAAGUAAUGAGGAACAUGAAGAGGCUUUGUGGAGUGUCACACUGACAAAAUAAAUUGGAAAGUCAUACUUCUACACAUAGACCUGAGAUGAAAUAUCAUCAGUGGACUUUUUCUUAGUUUCCGUUUUUAUAAAUGCUUCCUAUAGGUUUUCCCAGAGGUAGUGAAGUACAUAUCAGGUUAGGUCACAUACUUAAGUUGUAUAAUUAUAAUAGAAUUUACAUUUUUGUGAAUAGUGUCUCUGAUAUUUAGCUAGUUUGUCUGGUGUUUCAGUGCUAACAUGGGUGGGAUUCUUAAAAAUCCAUACACGAUUGGCCUUAAGACACCAAGACACAUCCUAAAUUGUAUUAAAACAUUUUGGGAACUCACCCAUGUGUGCAAUAAUUAUAAUUGUGAGCAUCCAAGGAAAAUUAGUGUGUAAUGUCUUAAUUAAAACUGGGCAUCAUAAUUUUAUUUAGAAAUUGAAUUCUAUUAAAUUGUUAAGAGUGGAGGAUUUUCAUUUCAUUCUCACAUAAUUAAUAUUUAGCACAGCUCUUUUGGUAGCACAUUGCAUUAUUAAUGUACAUUCUUUGAGAAAUGUAAUAGUAUGUUAAAAAGUUUCCUUGGAAGAGAGCCCAUACAUUUUGUCAUUAUAUUAAAAUGUAAAUUUCACCUCCUGCUUACCCGUUGAAAAUACUUAUGAGUUGCAUAUCAGCUUAUUUACUGUUUUAUUGGGCAAAAAUCUUUAAAGUCAGUUUGGUUUUGUUUAAGUGGGAAUUCAUUUUCAUGUUUUUAAAACUGAAGCUUGAACUCUCUCCCAGGGGUGUUCUUCACUCAAGAAUGUGGUAUGAAUAUUGUGUUGCCUUAACCCUCAUCAUAUUUUCUUUAGAGAAAAUGUGGCUCCUAUUAGUAGCACACUACAAAGUCACAUGGCUGUUAAAGGGUGAGCCCUGGGACAGAAAAGUAAUAAUUUUGUAUUCUUAUUGCUGCUCUUGUCACAAGGCAUUAUUGUGUUGGCUGUGGUAUACUCUCUAAGGCAGCCUGUAAGAAAAACAUCAUUUAUCUUAGUUUUGCCAUGAGAAGUCUACAGAAAUCUGUUGAUUUAAAAAAAGAGAGAGAGAGCGCACCCAGAGCUGUCCACAAAUAGACAAUGAGUAGUUAAGCAAAUAACUGUGCACACUCCUCAGUGACAACAAGUAGUUGUUUUGUUGAGCUUUUUUAGGGAGUGAACAAAUAAGAGGCAGAGAACGAUGAGGAAGGAAUGAAGAGCACCGAGAAGGAGGAGAAUGAGCAGGAGACGGAGGAGAAGAGAAGUAAGGAGGAGAAGAGAAGAAAUCCCCCAAACCUUGUUUCCUUGAGCACUGAAGCAAGACUGUGGAAAUCCACAGAGGGGAGGUAGAGCGCCCAGGUUUAGAGGCGCUUUGUUGGAGACCUCCCAUCCUUCCCUUCCUUCAGUUCUUGGGUCUCUCAGGAUAAACUGCACCCCUCAGAGGCGUCUUCCUGAGGGAAACCGAGCAGAGCAGAUUUGACCCAGUAGCAUCUGGUCUUUUAGACUCCCUCAGGCUAGGAGUUUCUAACUUUGAAAACUUGACUCCUCUUAUUCACAAUACCAUUUGAAAAUGACUUUGGAAGAGUAGUCAUUUGUUGUGUAUGUUAAUUUUUCCCACUGUUAAUGCUUUUUAAAUAUUAAUAUAAUAUUAGUUUCAAAUCACAGGAGGAAUAUUUCUCAAAAACUAUUUUAUGAAUACUAUGUUAUGAAAAUGGUGAAGAGGUUAAUCUAUUAUUUGUUAAUCAAAGAUUUGUAAUUGUUAAAAAAGAUUAUUUUAAUGUGAUCAUUAGGUCUUUCAAAAUGAAGUUUUUUCUACUUGAAAGUUUAAAUAUUUAGUAUGCUUUAUAUGCCUAGGAACAAAUAAGAAACAAUUUUCAGUUCUAACAGUGCAUACAUUAAUAUUCCAAAGCUGACUCACAGCUACUGCAGAUUGAUCACUAGAGUGCUAAUUUGCUCUCUGUGUGCAUGCAGAUAUGAAUUUCCUUGCUUGUGUGUAUUGUUCCUGGUAUUUACUUGUGCUAUUCAGAAUGUUUUAAAUUUGCCUCAUUUUUCUGGUUUUGUAAAUGGCAUAUAUAUCAUUACUAUGAAGAUCACUAGAAACUAAGACUAGAUUGACAUUUCAAGAUAGACUCACAGUGAUUUUUACAUAAUUAUGCUCAGAGAUCAGAAUCAUCCCUCCCAUUGAUUUUAGAAUUUUCAUAAAAAUCAGGAGCUGUUGCUUGGUGACUUGCAAUGUCUUUAAAUAUUUAAAUGUGCUAUCAUCCACAAUCAAUUUCCAAAUUGAAAAGACACCCCAAAAGGUGUAAUUUGAACACUGUAGCAUGCAAUAAUCUUUCUGGUAGACGUGUAUUUCACAAUUCAAAUAGUAGAACACUUUAGAAAUCUUAAUUGAUAUUGCCUAGAAAUGUUAGAAAAUUAAUAAGAAAGUAAGUUAAUCUAAAGAAAAUGAAGAGUUAAAAAAGAGGAGACUACCUUACCCUGACCGUAGCAGCCAUUAGAAAAUUAAUAAGAAAGUAAGUUAAUCUAAAGAAAAUGAAGAGUUAAAAAAGAGGAGACUACCUUACCCUGACCGUAGCAGCCAUUUUGUGAGUGGUACUGACUGGGGACCACUGACGAAAGGUCCUCCAAAGCAUCCAUGCAGUUCUGCAGGCAUUAUUGUAUGGAGCAGAGAUCUUUAAAAGAGUCCUGGGAGCAAGUAGGCUUCUUUGGAAAGGAUAACAUGAAGGAGUAGUGUCAAUGAGGGUGCAGAGGGUACCUGGAAGAGAAUGAAGGACAAGAGACACGAAAAAGGACUCCAAGACAAGAGUCUGAUCAAGGCAACAAUUUCAUUUUUUCUCAAGGCUGAAUUCAUACCAUAAUAGGGGAAACAGAGAGGGGGGGCAAAUGGGAAACAUUUACUCAGGCCAAGGACACAAUUUUUGUGUGGUCAGCUGUCAACAAGAUGUUGGUUUUUUAGGAUGGUUACAGGUCAUCACAUUGGGUAUCUUGACAUCAGAUGUAUUUCUUAGCAAGGUCAGAACUUUAUCAUAUCAUUAUUCAUCCUGACCACCAGAUUUGUAUUAGUCUUCUGCAGCUGGCUGGGGAUUUCCAUGAACCGUCAUACUUAACUCUAACCAUAAUAUUAACAUCAAUAAUGGAGGGUUUCAAGGGCUCCCAACAGAGUAGGAAGGAUUAUAAAGGAAACAUCUAUGUUGCCACUCUCCUUACCUCCCUCUUUGAGGAGGAGUAUUUUCUUUUCUUUCCUGAAGAUGCCCACUCCUCAGUUUUUCAAUAGGAUCUUGGUCUCUUCCCUACCUUUCAGCUUCACUAGCUGCUUCUAUUAACUUAUUUCCAUGUCAUGUCUUCUCCCUUCUCCACAAACUAUUUUACAGACCUCUACUCUCCAAAUUAGUAGGGUAUUAAGCACCUCAUUCUGUGUGCAGAGGGAUAUCAAGUCCACUGAGAACAGUGUGUAUGGUAAGUUCACUUAGGUAGACUGUGAACAAAACAUGCCAGCUUGAUGUCAUUACUGGCAAAGGUCAUAAACGCGAAAUUGUGACCUGAGGAUGAUCAAGUAGCUAUUGAGUAGAGAUCAAAGACUGGAACCUGGUUCUAAUUAGAUAAUCAGCUAAUCAAUUUUUUUAAACAAUUGUUUAUUUAGUAUGUGUACAUCAUGGAGUUUUCUGCCAGAAAACUGCACCUGCAGGCGAGUAGAGGGCACCAGACCUGAUUAUAGAUAGUUGUGAGCCACCAUGUGGUUGCUGAGAAUUGAACUCAGGACCUCUGGAAGAGCAGACAGUGCUCUUAACCUCUGAGCCAUAUCUCCAGCCCAGCUAAUCAAUUUUUAUUGCUAUUCAUUCACAUUAUGAUAGAUCAGUGGCAUGGUACUGCAUGACUACAAUGAUUUAGAUAUACAAGGUCUUUAGUUCAGAAAACAAUAAACAAAACAGACCAUAAUAAUGUAGAAGGGUAGUUAAAAAGAAAAGAAAGUCAUUAGGCCAUAAUGGAACUCUUCUGGAGUCAGUUUCUAGAGAGUAGGAAAGAUGGCUUAGUGGUUAAGUGUACUUACUGCUCUUCCGAAGAAUCCAGGUUCAGUGUACAACUGUCUAACUCUAGCUGCAGGGGAUCCAAAGACCCCUCCUAGACUCUCUGGAUACCCUACCACAUACCAUAGAUAUUCAAAGACUUAUACAAGCACACAUGGACAUAAAUCCCAAAACAAGUUACUUCCUAAACUCACCCGAAUAGCUUUGAGUCACUGUCAUUUCCCUUUGUGACCUUCAUUUUCCUGCUAGGAAUUUCGUUCUUUCAUGGUUUGUCAUGAUCUAGACUUCUUUUCCUUAUCUUAUUCAAUCCUUAUUUACAUAUGAUUUAUAUGUUAUACUUUCCAUUAGAAUACAUGUUUCUCUCAGUUGAUACCUCACUUUCCUUAACACUGUCUAUCAACAACCCAUUGACAAAUCUUCUUGUGAAGAUUUAUGCUACAAAAGAAUCCCUUCCACUAUUAUAGGUCAAGUACUACUACUGAUCACUUUGUUCCUGUCUACAGAUCUCUUCUGUGACUAGGUGAACUGAUUCUGCCUGCCACCUCCACAUGGUCCUAUAUUUGCAACUCUAAGCUUUUGUGAUUUUUAAAUCUUGUCUUAAGACAUGCAUGUUUCUCAUCCCUCACCUUAUAUUAUCUAUCUCUUUUUCUGGUCAAGUCACAGCCAUGUACAUUAAGUACACUCACAGCCAUCUUACUGUUGUCUCAUUGCAAUGCAUUUCAUAUGAAAUGUCAGAUUGGAACAUUGUUUUGCCUCUCAGUAUGGCUCCUUGAAAAUAGGUAAUUCUCAUCAAUGAAGCCUCUAUUUUCUCCUUGUUUGCUCUGUUUUUGAAUAACAAGAUAAUAUAAUUCCUUGUCUUAUGACAGUAUUGAUCAUACUUAUUCGUAUAUGUUUAAUCAUAAAAGAUAAAUCAUUUUCUUUUAUAUUAAUAUCCUCUCCAUCCUUCAAGGACUCAAAUAGCACCAAGCUCAUGAUAGUAUCAGAAUAUUAUAGUUUUGAAUGAUCUAUAUAUUUCUACUUUUUUAUAACAACCAUUUUUCUUAUAAAUCAUUAAGUAGAAAAAACUUAAUGUUAUCUCUAGAAUAAUAAGAUUAUCUCAAAAAAGUUUAUUUUGAUCAAUUAAAAUGACUCUAGUCCUUACUAUGCUUCUUUACUUGUACUAUUGAUGUAAAAUAAUUUCAGGUCAUGUUAGGAUUCAAAUUACUGAGCCUACAAAUUCUAAUAGGGUGGACAAAUUCAAAUAUCAGGAAUAUGGGGGAGUGAAAGCAUUCUUGUCUACACUGGAAUAGUACAGAUUCUUGUAACGUGUGGCCAUGUUGAUCUAGGGUCCAAGGUACUGUUGGGUUGGGGGAAAGCAGGGCACAGACUAGAGUCCAUAAUCUGGUAUAAUAAGUGUGAAACUCUUCACAGACACUCAUUUCAGAAGGUACAAAGCCAUUCUUUUUUAUCUUUUAUUGGAUAUUUUCUUUAUUUACAUUUCAAAUGUUAUCCCUUUCCCAGUUUCCCCUCUGGAAAUCACCCAUUCCAUUCCUCACCCACUGCCUCCAUAAUGGUGCUGCCCCAAGCCUUCAUAGGACCAAUGGCCUCUCCUCCCAUUGAUGCCUGACAAGGCCUUUCUCUGUUACAUAUGUAGCUGGAGUCAUGGGUCACUCCAUGUAUACUCUUUGGUUCAUGGUUUAGACCCUGGGAGUUCUGGGGGGUGUCUGGUUUGUUGGUAUUUUUGUUGUUCUUAUAGGGUUGCAAACCCCCUCCAAUUUCUCAGUCCUUUCUUUAACUCCUCCACUGGGGAUCCCAUUCUCAGUCCAAUGGUUGACUGUGAGCAUCCACCUCUGUAUUUGUCAGGCACUGGCAGAGCCUCUCAGGUGACAGUUAUUUCAGUAUGCACCUCUUGGCAUUCCCAAUAAUGACUGGGUUUGGUGGCUGCAUGUGGGAUGCAUCCCCAUGUGUGGCAGUCUCUGGAUUGCCUUUCCUUCAGUCUCUAUUCCACACUUUGUCUCUGUAUUUCCUCCUGUGAGUAUUUUGUUCCCCCUUCUAAGCAUCUACACUUUUGUCUUUUUUUUUCUUGAGCUUCAUGUGGUCUGUAAUUGUAUCUUAGGUAUUCUGAGCUUUGUGCUAAUAUCCAUUUAUCAGUUGAGUACAUAUCAUGUGUGCUCUUUUGUGAUUGGGUUACAUCAGUCUGAAUGAUAUUUUCUAGUUUCAUCCAUUUGCCUAAGAACAUAAUGCAACCACCCAUCAGGAACAGGGAAUACCAUAGUUAACUUUAUACAUUAUAUUUUAGCUUGAAAUUCUGCAGUAAGCCUAAGUUAAUAUUAUCAUAAGGCUAAUUUAUUGCAUAACCAAAUAUGAAAAGAUAGUUGAAAAUAGUUAUAAUUUUAAAGGACACCUCCAUUCCAUCCCUAGUUGUUGAGUUUUAUGAAAAUGAAAAUAGUCCCUUAUGUUACAGUUCUAUGCAUAAUCAGAUAUGUCAAAUGCUACCUGCUCUCAUGUUUAUUAGUUGCAGAUAUCAUUUAUAAGUAGAGCUAUAACCUGAAAGCAUUUCCUUAUGUUGGCCCUGUUUCUAUGGAUUUUGAAAAUUGGUCAUUUAAUGCAGAAGUCACUGUUGCUUGUCUUUACCCAGUAGACGUUAUAAUGUUUAAACAAAUUUAGUUUACAAUAUGCACUUUAGUUGAGUGUGGAGACUCAAAUAUUUACAUAAGUUAAUCUGUCUGAAUAACAUGGUAUUAUAAUUUAUAAUCACAUUAUUUUAUACUUGGAAUUUCAUUCAGUUCUCUCGAACAAAACACACUAAAUUUUUGUGAUUAGAUUGUAGAACGAACAAGUUGGGAUCUUUUUCCUUGGAGGUCAUUAUAAGAAAGAACCAUAGAGUAGAUGUGAUUGGAGAGAUGGCUCAGCAGUAAACAGCACUGGCUUCCCUUCUAGAGGAUAUGCAUUCAUUCCCAGAACCCUCAUUGCAGUUCAUAACCAUAUGCAACUCCCAUUCCAGGGGAUCAGACAUCCUCUUCUGACACCCACCAGGAUCAGGCAUGCACAGUAGUAUACAGACCUACAGGUAUGCAAAGCACCUAUACACAUUCAAAUAUAAUAUUGCACUCUGAAACUGCAGGCCUCAGAAUUUUGCUGCUAAUAGCCUUAGACUGUGUGCCCUCAGAGAGGCAAUCUCCCUUCCUUGUCUCAGGACUUUCCCUUGUUCUAAUCACAGGCCCCUUUAUUGUCAAGCCUUCAUCCUUGUCAAUUCCUUGGGCUCUCCUGAGUAGUAAUAGCUCACCAGAAGGAAGUCAGGGAUGACCUGGGAAAAGAUUCUUUUCUGCCCUCAGAGUUGUCUCCCAGAUACCCAAUAAUGAAAACAAGACAUAUCUGAAUAGGCAGCACUUCAGUUCAUUCUGGUUUUACCUAACCGACCAAGGGUCUUGCUGUUUGCUGUUCAUGGUGCAGAAAUAGACUGUAACACCUGCUACAGUCUAUUUCCUGUUCUCGAAUGCUGAGCCCACGUUCCUUCCCAUAUUCCACUCUAAAAAUCUCAUCUACAACCACUACCUGCCAGGGUUUGUGAGGGCUGUAGGCCGCAAGUGCACUUGGGAAGGUGGACAGGAUUGUCCGCUCUACUUCUUGUUUUUAGGCACACCCAAAACAAAUAGAUUUCUACUUGCAUCCAAAGCAGAGUUUACAAAUGAACAGCAGGGGGCGACAAUUUCUAACAUAGGUCUGAAUAUCAACUUACCGUUAGCCUAAAGUUAUGGGGCAAACAUCAGAUUACUGCAAAUUGCUUAACUUUAGCUCUAUACUGUAAUUAUCUAAACUCACUUUUACUGGAAUCUUUGUAAAGAAAGGUUUUAAUUAGAAUUUUGCAUGGCUUCCUCCCUCCUGUGGUUUGAUUGCUAGUUCAAAGAACACAAUCAAUGAAGAUAUCUAUUUGUUUGCAUUCUUCCUGCUUCCUGUAAGCCUGGUACUCGAUAGAGUAGAAUCAUCCAAAGAGAAGUACAAUUUGUCUUAAAACUGAUCUUGAUCUUGGUCUAAAGAACAACUGUAACUUUACCUUCCUCUCACACCUACCAGAUGUCACUAUACAAGGGAGAACACCUUAAACAAAAACAUUGAAAACUUUUUCUAAUUCCUUUCUUUUCUUCUAAUUAUAUUUCAAAGUUCACAGUUGUUUCGAUGAGUUGUGUGUUUGCCAGUUAAUAGGAGCUGAAAAUUUUUUGUAAAGUUACAUUGAAUAGGAAUAUUCAAUCCCAUUAACCCUAUGGCAUUAUGUUUUUAAAUGAAUGUAGUAAGGGCAAUAUUUUAAAGAAUUGCAAACUUUCUGGACUGUUUUUCAGUGAGCAGACAAGAUUGCAAUCAUAAGAUCUGAGAAAUGGAAUGGUAGAAGAAUGAACCAUCACUGCAACUUGUGCAAAAAUGCGGGAUUCUUGUUGUACAGUAAUUUGGUCAUAGUGUGAAUAUUGAUGGUCCUGACUUUAAUGGUUCAACCUUCAAUUUUUCAACUUUAUGAUGGUGGAAAAACAGUAUAUACUCAGUAAAUCUUAUAUGGAAUUUUGCAUUUGAUCUUUUCUCUAGGCUAGCCAUAAUUCAGAAAAAUACUCUCACAGGAUGCUGGUCUAUUGCAGCAUUGACCUACAGUGCAGUCGAUCAUUGGAUGCCAAGAGAAAGAAGGGAGGCAUCAUGCAGUGAACUGUGUAGCCACCGGCCACUAGAAACAAGUGGUCAGUAGAUUACAUGAGGUAGUCACACUGUAUUAGGAAUCAUUCUUAGAUUUUGUCAGAUGAAGACAACAAUGUUUUGAACAAGUUCAAAUGUGGAAUUUAAAUGUAAGCUAUAGUGUUUGAUAGUUGGGUUCACUAUGUGCAUUUUCUGCUUACAGCAUGUUCAAUUGAUGAUGAACAUAUGGGGGUCACACUCAUAACAUUCUAAGUCAAAUCUCUUUACAUAAAAGCUACUGAACACUGAAAAGCAGAGUCAACAGCAGAUCACUAAGUAUACUUGUAGUGCAGCUCUCUAUUCUGCACAGUGCAGGGCUGCAAUCCCAAGCAUUUAGCAGGCAGGAGCUACAACGAUGAAGGUUUAUAGCCAUGAGUACACGUGUAGGUGAAUCCUGGUCCCAACAGUGCAUGCUGCUCGCUUUUGUGAGAGGUUUACCUGCUUGUGAGCAACUGAAACCUUCUCCAUUGGAAUAACUAGGGUGUGUCUGUGGUCUUGGCUGACAAGGGUGAUUCAGCCAGGUGCUCUUAUGUUUAAGAACGGACUGAGGAGGAGACAGAGUAAUCAUUUGCAGCCUUCUUUGCUUGACCAGAUAUCAGGGCUGCACAAACACUUAGGCCGUGUUUAAGGCCUUAAGGCACAGCUAAAUCUCAUAUUUCUUUGCAGUCAUAAGAAAUCUCUUCUCUCAUCGUUAAAAGCAUGUUUGGCUUUCAAGGGAAAAGAAAGUUUUAAGGGUAAGGAUCCACUAAUUAAGAUCACGAAUAUGUCCCUGCUCCCCAAGAAUAGGUUGUCUAUCUUCUUCCAAGUGUGCUCAUCUCACCCUUGCCAACUUAGAUUUACUUGACUGUUGUUCCAAUGCUGACUAAUAACAGACAAAUCCCUUCUUUUCUUCAGGUUCAAAUUCCAAAGAAAGUUCUGGAUUCAAUCUUGUUCAGAGCCUAUAACAGCAGGGUAUGUUGAUGGCAAGCUCGUGAAGGAGCUGCUUCUGACACAGCUUCCAUUCUUUCUAUAUUCCCUCUUAGCAAGUAGAGAUGCAUGAGCAGAUGACAAAAAUCUAAAUAAACAAGCAGACCUGGAGGUCCGAGCAUGGCCCAGCAACAAAAGGUGUGAGAAGGAAGGACUAAAUGUGCAGGACGAACUGCCUCUGCAUGUUAAACCAGCUCAUUUCCAUGCCUUGCCUCAGAAAAUAAAGCAAUAACGUUUUAGUCAUAGACUCAAUUAGCAUAGCAACCUUGCAUCAACCCCUCCUGCUGCUCGUGCUUCUUCCCUAAUACUGCUGCUCUAAGCAUUCCAACCUUUUCUUUCUUAUUUUGAGCUACAUACUUACAACCCAAGUUGACUCCUUUUCUCUGGGUCUCUUUUCCUGAAGCCUGUUACUUUGUCUUCCCACGUUGUUCUGCAUCCUGUGUCUCCACAUCAUGCUCCUAAUAACCCACCUUUACACAAUGAGAUGGGCCCAAUGAAACACUCACUUCAAUGAGAACAUUCGCUCAUCCUUCCAAAAUUGCCCCAAUGAAACACUCACAUCCACAAAACAGUCUUAUGAAUCUCAUCCUUCCAGAACUGUUCUCAAGACAGUGCUUUAAAAUGAUUUUUUUUGUACAUUUCCCCUACUUAUUAAAGAGAAGGAGCUGACUUCAGAUGAAAUUUACAUCUGUGUGGAAAACUGACCAAAAUUACAACACAGGAAAUCUAGAUUAAAAAUAAAUAAAUAAAUAGCUCUUGAGGUUGCUGCAUGCUCUGUCACACAUGUUCUGUCAAGCAUGUUCCGUGUCCUAUACCAGAUCAUUCAUCCUCCGGCUCUUCCUAUCCCACAUCCGUUUAAUUGGAUACACAUUUGAUCUGUGAUGGUAAUGCUGAUUUCUUUCAAUUUUGGAAAUAUAUGUAAUUUUUAUAUUAGUCAUUUGAUAACAAAUCAGGUAUACUUAGUUCGCUCCCUGGUGUUCACAGAGUGGAGAUAUCGGCUUUUCCCUGGCACAGCAACAUCUUUGAGCUACAAGCUGCAUACAGAGAGCGUGCUCAUACUGACGAUCUCUUCAGUUUGCUGUAAAAAUUCUUUCACUAGUUAAAUACAGCUUUUUAUUUUACUAACAUGCAUAGAAAACUCAUAGAAUUGAGUAAUAAAGCUUUUCCUGGGCAAGAAAUUACCUAAUCAGUAGAUCUAAUUAUUUUCUAUACACUAAUGUUUUCACAUUAGAGUGUGUUUUAUUUCAGUUUCAUUUUUUCAAAUGAAGAAUAAAGGCUAUACAUAUGCAAAUCGUAUUUUACUCUGUAAGUGGAGAGUCUGGAGCCUUUUUGCCUUCUUAUAGCAUAGUACUAAUUCUAUAUGCAUGUAUACAUAAUUUUGCAGAUAUUUAGCAAGACUACAUUUAGAAAAAGUAGGGCAAAACAUUAUGAUCAGCUUUAGAAAAGUUUUCUAAGUGCAUGGUAACCAUUUAACUUAUACAAAUCUGAGAAUAUUCUAACUUCAGCUUUUGAAAAGGAUUCUGUGAAAUGCUAAGUAUAGCUUUAAUUUUGUGGAUGUGUAAGCACAUAAGACACAUUCAUUCUGACUCCAGCCUGACAGUGCUGGAUUGACAGAUGGAAAACGUUGUCAGUAUUGCCUGUCAGAUUGAAACUUAACAGUUGACAAGAAGCCAUGUAAAAGCUUGAAGGUAUCCUCCCCAUAUUGGCAUUUCACUGGGUAUUAAUUAAACUAGAUUGUUUGUUAAUAAAGCUCAGAAAACCAAUCAAUUCUAUCAUAAAAUAUGUGAUUAAGUUAUGUGCUGUAUAUAUGCAUGUUUAGGACUGGGAAAUGAGAUGACAUACAUUUUCCUUUAUACUUUAUACCUAAGGCAGCAGUAUGAAAAGGAAUAUGGAAAAUUUUAAUUAGAAGCAGAUUAUAACAUGCACAUAGCCAGCAGUAACUUCGGUAUUUGUCACAGAUAACAAAAUGCAGAACAACAUUUUUUCUUUGAAAAUAUUUCCAGAAUUGAUUUUACACAGUGUUCCGUACUGAUUUAUAUAUCACUAUAAAAUUCAUGUUAUUUAAAACCUGAAAGCAUGUGCAACUUUCUCUGAUAUGGUGAGUUAGAACAACUUACUAACAAUUUAUUUAAAGUAUAUAUACAAAAUAACUAAAAUGAGUCCAAUUCUCAGAUCAUGAUGACUGUCUUUUCUCUAAUAAAACUUUAAAAGAUAGCUUUGAAAUCUUUGGCCACUUGAAUUCAUUAAUGUAAAGCUGAUUUAAAUAAUGGAAAGGUUAUUGUGUAACCCACUUUUUUCUGAUAAUACACAGUGUUCUUUGAAAUCUGUAUUUAUAGUGUAAAAUAACACAUAAAGAAGACAUAUGACUUAUGCUCAUGGACUUGAAAAUGUGUUGUGGGGAGAUAAACAUUAAAUAAUCCAGUAAGAGAAACUGUAUCUAUAACAAGUACUGUGAAGGAUCACUUCCAAUGUCUAUGAAAGGUCUAUGACGGGAGACCUGGCAUAAAGCCAGGCAAAGAGUUUGCUACCUGAGGUGGGGACUGAAUUUAGACCUAAAGGAUUUUAUAUCUAGGUAGGACAUUUCAUCAAAAGACUGAGAGAGAUGUGCACCCAGGACAGAGUGCAUAAAGGUUCAUCAACAAGACAGUGUUUCUCAUGCUUAAGGGCAGUUAUGGGUUGGCUUUGGCCACAUUAGAAAUCUUUUUAAAAUAUAUGCUUUUAUUCUAACUUCUACCACUUAAGAAUGUAAAAUUACUUACAGAGUCUAUGAAGAUUUAAAGUUAAAAUUAAAUAAUCAGCAUAGGCUGUUUUCUAGUGUGGCUUUUGUCUUCUGAGGUGAAUGUUGGGGAUAGAUGUCUAUGGAAGAGGCAUGUAAACAGUCACAGAGAGAAAGCAGCCACCUGUAAGCUAUGGGAUGCUUGCCAGAAACUAAGCCAGGUCUGGAAUACUUCCCACCUUAUAACCUCAGAUGAAACCUAGCCCUGUUUAGAACUUCACUUUGGAUUUUUCCUUCCAAAAUAUGACAUGACCCAUUCCUGCUGAUCUAAGACACACGGGUUGUGGCUGCAGCUGCAUAGGCAGAGCAAACCGAAACUGAAGGUAUGCCAGUAGUAGUGAAAACCUAGAGGGAGGACAGUGUGCGUUAACCAAUAGAAGGCAUGGUGAUGAGCAGGGGCCAGAUCUUGAUAGCAUUAAUUGCAUAUUUUUUAAGUUUUGUAUUUUAAGAUAUAUUUUUAUUUAUACCUAUCUUUGUCUAUCUGUGUAUAAAUAUCAGUGUGUGUGAGUGUGUGUGUGUGUGUGCACAUGUGUGUGUGUGCACAUGUGUGUGUGUGCACAUGUGUGUGUGUGCACAUGUGUGUGUGUGUGUGUGUGUGUGUGUGCAUGCAGGUAUGCAGGUGUGCAGGUAUGUGCACCUGUGCUUGUAUUCCAGAUUUUCUGCUUUUUCCAGAAAGUGAUAUUGAAUCCUGUAAGCUGGAGAUAGAAUUAGUUGUGUGAUGCCUAGCUUGAUACAUAGUUGCUGAAAUCUGAAAUCUUUUGCUCAGGAGUGUACAGCAAGUAUGUCUCACACUGAGUCAUCUCUCUAGCUUCUGUAGAACAUUUUAUCAUAAGAGAAAAAGAGUUACUUAAGUGGAAAAAUAUUUUAAAAGAAAAGAAAAAACUAAGAAAGGAAGGGAAGCCAUAUGAGAGGGUGAAAGCAGAUUGGUAGCAACAGCUACAGUGAAAAUUCAGUGGUAAACUCCAGGGAAACAGAUAGAAAUUUAUGAAUGAACUAACAAACCUCAGAAUUAAUCAAGAACCAGGCCUUUAUUCCAGCUGAAAUCUCUUGUUUCUUCACUGUUUUCCAUCUCUUUAUAUUUCCACCAACACAGAAACGUACUUUGCUGUUCUCUCUUCUUUUUCAACUGGUGUUAGCAGACUGAAGAGAAGUUUGCAUCAACUAUGGCGAUAAGGUAUAAAAAUAUCUCUUACAUUCAGAAAGGCUGCCGCUUCAGUUAGAUCUCACAGCCAGAGUUGAUAAUACUCCUUGAGGUAACUUAACUCUUAAGACUGCUAUCCUACUGUGUACCUGACUUGUUUGUUUAGUUUGCCUUUAAGGGGACAAUAUAACUACAAACCUUACUUUCCAUGGAAUAAACUUUUAUAGCCUCAGCUAAUGCAGAGCUGUGAUCUCAAAGUAUGUACUGUCCUCUUCUCCUGACCUACAGUGAUGCCAAUAUGUUUUAAUCAUCAUUUGCUGAGAGCAGCAAAAAUAGAAGAUGACAAAAAGAGGGAGUGAUUUCAUUUCAUUCCUUAAGGUGAUACCCACACAUUAUUAUUGACUCAUAAUUUGUUACUAAUGCAUUCAAAUCUACUGUGAUAAAUGAUUGUGCUUCAUGUGAUGAUAGGUUUGUUUCUGGUAAAGGUCUUAUUAUGAAGAUUUAUUGUAUCAACAUUAUAGAGUGCACUUAUAUACCUAGAUGUGUAUAAAUCAACCAUUUUAUGUGGCUUCUUGAUACAAUCCAAAGAUGAAGCACACUAGAAUUCUAUGAAGCUAUAGUCAAAUGUAGUUGGUAUAUUCUUUACAGUAAAUUUUAUAAUAACUCUUCCUCAUGACCUGUAUCAUCAUCUUCGUCUUCAUCUGUCUUAGUUACUUUUGUAUUGCUGUGCUAAAGAUACCAUGACCAAGGCAACUUAUCAAAGAAAUCACUUAUUGGGGGCUUACAGUUUCAAACAGAGUCCAUGGCCAUCAUGGUGGGGAGCAUGGCAGCAGGUAGGUAAGCAUAGUGCUUGUUCAAGAGCUAAGAAUUCACAUCCUGAGAUGCAAGAAUGUGGCAGAGAGUGCUAACGGGGAAAGGCAUGGGCUUUGAAACCUUGGCCUACCACCAGUGAGAUGCCUCCUCCAUCAAGGCAACACCUACCAAUCCUUCCCAAACAAUGCUACCAAGUGCAGACCAAGCAUUUAAAAAUAAGAGCCUAUGGAACCCACUCUCAUUCAAAUCACUGUGCCCUUUCUUGAUUUCCUUUCUAAAUCUUAUAGCACAGAAACUCUUAUACCUUGUACAUGUAUACAUUAUAGUCUAAGGUCACAUGUGAAAGAAAAAUGUGGGCUUUUGGUGAUCACAUAUUUUAUUGUCUAAGUCAAUUAAUUGUCCAAUAAAUUUAUUUAUUUUAUUGACUAAGUUAGUUAUUAACUUCAUAUCCAGAUUGCAACUUCCCCUCCCUUCUCUCCUCCCAGUUCUUCCCUCUCCCUUCCCUUCAUCCAUGUCUCCCAUGGACACCAACCAGCCCCAGUAUAUCAUAUUACAGCAAGACUAGGCACAUCCUCUUUCAAUGAUACUAGACAAGGCAGCCCAGUUAGGGGAAAGGACAAUGCAGUCAGAGGCCGCCCCUGAUCCCCCUUUAGGAGUCUUACAUUAAGACCCAGAUGCACAACUGUUACAUACAUGCAGAAAACUUAGCUCCAUCCAAUUCAUGCUUUCUUGUUGGCAGUUCAGUCCUCAUAAACCCUAUGUGCACAGGUUAGUUGACUCUAGAUUUUCCUAUAAUGCCCUUGACCUCUCUGGCUCCCUCAAUCCUCUCCUACAUCUCUACAGAAUUCCCUAAGCUCUACUCAAUGUUAGGCCGUGGGUCUCAGUAUCAGCUUUCCACAGUUGCUGAAUGAAGCCCCUUUGACUACAUUAAGGCUAGGCUCCUAUCUACAAGUAUAGCAGAAUAUAAUCUGUAAUUAUCAGGGAUGGGAUCCCUUUCGUGGCAUGGGUAUUGAGCUGGGCUAGACAUUAGUUGGCCCUUCCCUCAAAUUGUGUUCCAUUCUCCAUCCCUGCACAUCCUAUAGGCAGGGCAAAUCGUUGGUCUCAUGUUUAGUGGUUGGGUUGAUGGUCCCAAUCCCUCCCUUGGUAGUCUUGCCUGGUUAUAGAAGAUGGCUGGCUCAGAAUUUAUAGCUCCCAUUCCUAGGGGUCAUAUUAGGGCCACGCUCAUAGAUUCCUGGGUGUUUCCAAUGCCCUUGGUUUCUAGCUUAUCUCAGAGAUCUCCCCCCUCCAAUCUAGUUUUCUUGCCUAGUAUUCUUGCCUCUGUCACCCCUCCACCUCAUCCCUCUUGUUCCCAGCCCACACUCUCCCUGACCCAGUGCUCUCCUUCCAUCCAUACCAAUGUUUAAUCUGUUUUUCUUUCUUAGUGAGAUUCAAGUGUGCACCCUUGGGCCCACCUUUGUUAUUUAGGUUCUAUUUGUCUCUGAUUUGCAGCCUGACUGCCCUGAACAGUACGACUAAUAUCUAUUUAUAAGUGAGUACAUACCAUGUUUGUCUUUCUGGAUCUGGGUUACCUGAUUCAGGAUGAUCUUUCUAGAUCAUUUACUUGCCAAUUUUAUGAUGUCUGUCCUAGUGUUCAUUGAUGUGAAGAGACACCAUGAAGAAGGCAAAUUAUAUAAAGGACAAUAUUUAAUUGGGCUUGGCUUGAGUUUCAGAAGUUCAGUCCAUUUUUAUCAUGGUAGGAAACAUGGCAGCAUUCAGACAGACAUGGUACUAGAAGAGCCAAGAGUUCUACAUCUUUAUUUGAAGGCAGCCAGAAGAAGACCUACUUCAUACUGGCCAGACGUAAGCAUAUAAAGAGACCUCAAAGCCCUGAUUCAAAGUGUCACACUUCUUCUAACAAAGCUACACCUCUUCCAACAAGGCUACACCUCCUAAUAAUGCAUCUUCCCAUGGGCCAAGCAUAUGAAAACUACCACAUGAUCAGUGUUUUUAAUGGCUCGAUAAUACUCCAUUGUGUAAUGGAAAAUAUACCACAUUUUCUUUAUCCAUUCUUUAGAGGGACAUCUAAGUUAUUUCCAGUUUCUAGCUAUUAUAGAUAAAGUUGCUAUAAGCAUAGUUGAAUAAGUGUCCUUGUGCUAUGGUAGAAUUUCUUUUGGGUAUAUGUCCAGGGGUGUUAUAGCCGGAUCUUGAGAUAGACCUACUCACAAUUUUCUGGGAACGCACCAAGUUUAUUUCCAAAGUAGUUGUACAAGUUUGCACUCCAACCAGCAACUGAGAAGUGUUUUCUUUCUCCACAUCCUUGUCAUCAUGGACUGUCUCUUGAGGGUCUUUUUGUUGUUGUUGUUGUUGUUGUUGUUGUUGUUGUUUUUAAUCUUAGCCAUUUUGACAUGAGUAAGAUGGGAUCUCAAAGUUGCUUUGAUUUGCAUUUCCCUGAUGAUUAAGGAUGCUGAUCAUUUCUUUAAGUGAUUCUCAGUCAUUAGAGAUUGCUCUGUCAAUAUUUCUCUGUUUAGAACUGUAUACAUUUUUUUUAAAAAAUGGGUUAUUUGGUUUGUUAAUGUCUAGUUUAUUGAGAUUUUAUGUAUUUAACAUGUCAGUCCUCUGUCAGAUGUGGAGUUGGUGAAAGCAUUUUCCCAUUCUCUAGGCUGCCACUUUGUCCUUUUGAUAGUAGCCUUUGCCUUAAAGAAGAUUUUUGAUUUCAUGAGGUUCCAUUUAUUAAUUGUUGAUCUUAGAGCCUGAGCUAUUGGUGUUCUAUUCAGGAAGUUAUCUUUUGGAACAAUGCAUCCAAGGCUACUGUCUACUUUCUCUUCUAUCAGAAUUAUUGUAUACUGUGUUAUGUUAAGAUUUUUGAUCUACUUGAAGUUGAGUUUUGUGCAGGGUGAUAAAUAUGAAUCUAUUUUCAUUCUGUUACUUGCAAACCACCAGUACCAUUUGUUGAAGAUGCUUUAUGUUUUCCAUUUUAUAUUUGUGAUGCUUAGUUAAAGAUCAAGUGUUUAUAGGUGUAUGGAUUUGAUUCUAGUUCUUCUAUUAGAUUUUAUUGAUUUUUUAUGCCAAUACCCAUGUAGUUUUAUCACUAUUUCUCUGUAGUAUAGCUUGAAAUCAGGAAUGAUGCUACCUCUAGAGGUUCUUUUAUUGUACAAGAUUGUUUUGACUAUGUUCAGUUUUCUUUCAUAUGAAAUUGAAUAUUUUUCUGUCGUGGCUUAUAAAUAUUGUGUUGGAAUUUUAGUGGAAAGUGCAUUAAUUCUGUAGAUUAUUUUUGCUAGAAUGGUCAUUUUACUAUACUAAUCCUAUAUAUGAUCAUGGUAGAUCUGUCUGUCUUCUGAUACCUUCCUCAGUUUUUUCCUUCAAAUAUCUGAAGUUCUUGUCACAUAGUUAUUUCACUGGCUUGGUUAGAGUUAUAAAAAGAUAUUUUAUAUCAUGUGUGACUAUUAUAAAGUGUGUGGUUUCCUUAAUUUUUUUCUCAGCCCAUAUGUUGUUUGUAUUAAGUUGUAUUAAGUAUUCUUUUUGUUUUGGUUAAUUUUUGUAUCCAACCACUUUGCAGAAGGUAUUUAUCAUGUAUAUGAAUUCUCUGGUAUAAAUUUUGGGGUCACAUGUGUAUACUAUCAUAUCACCUGCAAAUUAUGAUAGUUAGACUUCUUCCUUUCCAAAUUGUAUCCUCUGAUCUCCUUUGGUUGUCUUACUGCUCUAGCUAGGUCUUCAAGUACUAUAUUGAAGAGACAGGGAGAGAGUAGACAGCCUUGUCUUGCUCCUGAUUUUAGUGGAAUGGCUUUAAGUUUCUCUCCAUUCAAUUUUAUGUUGCCUAUUGGCUUGCUGUAUAUUGACUUUAUUGUGUUUAGGUAUGCUCCUUGUAUCACUUACCUCUCCAAGACUUUUAACAUGAAGGAAUUUUAGAUAUUGUUAAACCCAUUUUCAGCAUGUAAUGAGAUGAUCAUAUUAUUUUUCUUUUGAGUUUGACUAUAUGAUGGUUUACAAUGAUUGAUUAUUUUUGUAUUGGACCAUUGCUGCAUUGUUGAGAUGAAACCUAUUAGGUCAUGUUGGAUAAUGUCUUUGAUGUGUUCUUGAAUUUUGUUUGUUAGUAUUUUAUUAAGUAUUUUUACAUCAAUGUUCAUGAAAGAAGUUGGGCUCAAAUUCUCUUUCUUUGUUGAAUCUGUGUAUGGUUUCAUUAUGAUGUUGACUGUGUCCUCAUAGAAUGCAUUUAGCAAUGCCACUGUUACUAUUUUGUGGAAGAGUUUAAGGAGUAUUGGUAUUAGCUCUUCUUUAGAAGUCUAGUAGAAAUCUGAGAUACUUUUAACAGUUAUGGGACUAUUUAUGCAGUUUUUCUAAACUUUAUUUAACUGGUAAGUGGUGUCUGUCUAGAAAAUCAUCCAUUUCAUUUAGGUUUUCUAAUCUUGUGGAUUAGAGACUUUUGAAGUAGGACCUAAUAAUUCUUUGAGUUUCCACAGGGUCUGUUGUUUAUAUCUCCCCUUUGAUUUCUUAUUUUGUUAAUUUUGGUACUGGUUUUCCUUCUUUUAGUUAUCUGGGCAAAGGGUUUGUCUAUGUUGUUGAUUUUCUCAAGAACCAGCCCUUUUUUCAUUGGUUCUUUGUAUCAUUCUAUCUGUUUCUAAUUGAUUAAUUUUAGCCCUGGGUUUGAUUACCCUUCUAUCUAUUCCUCUUGGGUGUGCUUAUUUCUUUUUCUAUAACUUUCAGGUGUACUUUUAAAUUAUUAGUAUGAGAACUCUCUAAUUUCGUCAUGAAGGCACUUCGUGCUAUGAACUUGCCUCUUAACACUGCUUUCAUUGUAUCCCAUAAGUUUGGGUAUUUGUGACUUCAUUUUCAAAGAAUUCUAGAAAAUCCUAAAUUUCUUUAUUUUUUUCCUGAUGCUGUGAUCCCUGAAUAGAGAGUUGUUCAGUUUCCAUGAGUAUAUAGACUCUCUGUUGUUUCUGUUGUUGAAGUCCUGCUUUAAUCCAUGGUGUCCUGAUAGGAUACAAGAAGUUCUUUCUUUCUCUCUCUCUUUCUUUCUUUCUUUCUUUCUUUCUUUCUUUCUUUCUUUCUUUCUUUCUUUCUUUCUUUCUUCCUUCCUUCCUUCCUUCCUUCCUUCCUUCCUUCCUUCCUUUCUUUCUUUCUUUCUUUCUUUCUUUCUUU